rnacentral:rRNA from 1 species
UCUAAGUACCCCGAGGAAAAGAAAUCAACCGAGAUUCCCCCAGUAGCGGCGAGCGAACGGGGAGCAGCCCAGAGCCUGAAUCAGUGUGUGUGUUAGUGGAAGCGUCUGGAAAGGCGCGCGAUACAGGGUGACAGCCCCGUACACAAAAAUGCACAUGCUGUGAGCUCGAUGAGUAGGGCGGGACACGUGGUAUCCUGUCUGAAUAUGGGGGGACCAUCCUCCAAGGCUAAAUACUCCUGACUGACCGAUAGUGAACCAGUACCGUGAGGGAAAGGCGAAAAGAACCCCGGCGAGGGGAGUGAAAAAGAACCUGAAACCGUGUACGUACAAGCAGUGGGAGCACGCUUAGGCGUGUGACUGCGUACCUUUUGUAUAAUGGGUCAGCGACUUAUAUUCUGUAGCAAGGUUAACCGAAUAGGGGAGCCGAAGGGAAACCGAGUCUUAACUGGGCGUUAAGUUGCAGGGUAUAGACCCGAAACCCGGUGAUCUAGCCAUGGGCAGGUUGAAGGUUGGGUAACACUAACUGGAGGACCGAACCGACUAAUGUUGAAAAAUUAGCGGAUGACUUGUGGCUGGGGGUGAAAGGCCAAUCAAACCGGGAGAUAGCUGGUUCUCCCCGAAAGCUAUUUAGGUAGCGCCUCGUGAAUUCAUCUCCGGGGGUAGAGCACUGUUUCGGCAAGGGGGUCAUCCCGACUUACCAACCCGAUGCAAACUGCGAAUACCGGAGAAUGUUAUCACGGGAGACACACGGCGGGUGCUAACGUCCGUCGUGAAGAGGGAAACAACCCAGACCGCCAGCUAAGGUCCCAAAGUCAUGGUUAAGUGGGAAACGAUGUGGGAAGGCCCAGACAGCCAGGAUGUUGGCUUAGAAGCAGCCAUCAUUUAAAGAAAGCGUAAUAGCUCACUGGUCGAGUCGGCCUGCGCGGAAGAUGUAACGGGGCUAAACCAUGCACCGAAGCUGCGGCAGCGACGCUUAUGCGUUGUUGGGUAGGGGAGCGUUCUGUAAGCCUGUGAAGGUGUGCUGUGAGGCAUGCUGGAGGUAUCAGAAGUGCGAAUGCUGACAUAAGUAACGAUAAAGCGGGUGAAAAGCCCGCUCGCCGGAAGACCAAGGGUUCCUGUCCAACGUUAAUCGGGGCAGGGUGAGUCGACCCCUAAGGCGAGGCCGAAAGGCGUAGUCGAUGGGAAACAGGUUAAUAUUCCUGUACUUGGUGUUACUGCGAAGGGGGGACGGAGAAGGCUAUGUUGGCCGGGCGACGGUUGUCCCGGUUUAAGCGUGUAGGCUGGUUUUCCAGGCAAAUCCGGAAAAUCAAGGCUGAGGCGUGAUGACGAGGCACUACGGUGCUGAAGCAACAAAUGCCCUGCUUCCAGGAAAAGCCUCUAAGCAUCAGGUAACAUCAAAUCGUACCCCAAACCGACACAGGUGGUCAGGUAGAGAAUACCAAGGCGCUUGAGAGAACUCGGGUGAAGGAACUAGGCAAAAUGGUGCCGUAACUUCGGGAGAAGGCACGCUGAUAUGUAGGUGAAGUCCCUCGCGGAUGGAGCUGAAAUCAGUCGAAGAUACCAGCUGGCUGCAACUGUUUAUUAAAAACACAGCACUGUGCAAACACGAAAGUGGACGUAUACGGUGUGACGCCUGCCCGGUGCCGGAAGGUUAAUUGAUGGGGUCAGCGCAAGCGAAGCUCUUGAUCGAAGCCCCGGUAAACGGCGGCCGUAACUAUAACGGUCCUAAGGUAGCGAAAUUCCUUGUCGGGUAAGUUCCGACCUGCACGAAUGG